UACGUAGGGUGCAAGCGUUGUCCGGAAUUAUUGGGCGUAAAGAGCUCGUAGGCGGCUUGUCGCGUCGAAUGUGAAAUCUCAGGGCUCAACUCUGACAUUGCAUUCGAUACGGGCAGGCUAGAGUUCGGUAGGGGAGACUGGAAUUCCCGGUGUAGUGGUGAAAUGCGUAGAUAUCGGGAGGAACACCAGUGGCGCAAGCGGCUAACUGGCCGAGACCUGACGCUGAGACGCGACGGCGUGGGGAGCAAACCGG
rnacentral:rRNA from 1 species